ensembl:snRNA U6 U6 spliceosomal RNA
GUACUCGCUUUGGCAGCACAUAUAUUAAAAUUGGAACGAUACAGAGGAGAUUAGCAUGGCCCCUGCGCAAGGAUGACACGCAAAUUUAUGAAGCGUUCCAUAUUUUU